GCCCGGAUAGCUCAGUAUGUAGAGCAAAGGUUUGAAAAUCCUUGUGUCCUCGCCCGUCCCGAGUCCGGGCACCA
rnacentral:tRNA from 1 species